rnacentral:rRNA from 1 species
UACGUAGGGUGCGAGCGUUAAUCGGAAUUACUGGGCGUAAAGCGUGCGCAGGCGGAUUGCUAAGACAGGUGUGAAAUCCCCGGGCUUAACCUGGGAACUGCAUCUGAUACUGUUGAGCUAGAGUAGGUGAGAGGGAAGUAGAAUUCCAGGUGUAGCGGUGAAAUGCGUAGAGAUCGGGAGGAACACCAGUGGCGAAGGCGGCUUGCCGGGCCAUAACUGACGCUGAAGCACGAAAGCGUGGGGAGCAAACAGGAUUAGAUA